CACGUAGGGUGCGAGCGUUGUCCGGAAUUACUGGGCGUAAAGAGCGCGCAGGCGGUCGUUCAAGUCGAGUGUGAAAGCCCCCGGCUCAACUGGGGAGGGUCACUCGAUACUGAUCGACUCGAAGGCAGGAGAGGGUAGUGGAAUUCCCGGUGUAGUGGUGAAAUGCGUAGAUAUUGGGAGGAACACCAGUGGCGAAGGCGGCUCACUGGACCGGAACUGACGCUGAGGCGCGAAAGCGUGGGGAGCAAACAGG
rnacentral:rRNA from 1 species